rnacentral:tRNA from 3 species
GGAGCGUUAGCUCAGCGGGAGAGCACUACGUUGACAUCGUAGGGGUCACUGGUUCAAUCCCAGUACGCUCCACCA